rnacentral:rRNA from 1 species
AAACCAUUUUCCCCCCUUAGUAUGGGCGACAGAAAAGGGACCUCAGGAGCAAUAGAAAAAGUACCGCAAGGGAACGCUGAAAGAGAAAUGAAAUAAACCAGUAAAGCCAACAACAGCAGAGAUUUCCCCUCGUACCUUUUGCAUCAUGAUUUAGCGAGUAAACCUUAAGCAAAGGGCACUUUAGUUUAAGACCCCGAAACUAUGGUGAGCUACUCCGAGACAGCCUAUAAUAGGGCGAAUCCGUCUCUGUGGCAAAAGAGUGGAAUGAGCUCCGAGUAGUGGUGACAGACCUAUCGAACCUAGUUAUAGCUGGUUGCCUGAGAGAUGGAUAGAAGUUCAGCCUCACGGCUUCUCUCCUCCCACCCAUUCAUAAAGACAACUACAGAAACCGUGAGAGUUAAUCAAAGGAGGCACAGCUCCUUUGAUAAAAGAUACAACUUUAGCAGAAGGGUAAAGAUCAUAUUUCCAAUAAGGCUUAAUGUCCUGGUGGGCCUAAAAGCAGCCAUCCAUUUAAAAAGCGUUAAAGCUCAAACAUGUUAGCCCCCUAUUAUAACGAUAACAUCAUCUAAACCCCCUAAACCGUACCAGGCCGCUCCAUGCACCCAUGGAAGAGACCAUGCUAAAAUGAGUAAUAAGAGAGCCCGACUCUCUCCCUGCACAAGUGUAUCUCGGCCCGGACCCACCACCGAAUUUUAACGGCCCCAACAAAAGAGGGAAAUGAAUAAUGAAACAGAUUACUAGAAAAGUACUCAAUCCCCCACCGUUAACCCUACACUGGAGUGCCCCUUGGGAAAGACUAAAAGAAAAAGAAGGAACUCGGCAAACACCUAGAGCCUCGCCUGUUUACCAAAAACAUCGCCUCUUGCAAAGUUAAUAAAUAAGAGGUCCCGCCUGCCCUGUGACCUGUGUGUUUAACGGCCGCGGUAUCCUGACCGUGCGAAGGUAGCGCAAUCACUUGCUCUUUAAAUGGGGGCCCGUAUGAAUGGCGUAACGAGGGCUUAACUGUCUCCUUUUUCAGGUCAAUGAAAUUGAUCUCCCCGUGCAGAAGCGGGGAUAAUCCCAUAAGACGAGAAGACCCUAUGGAGCUUUAGACACCAAAGCAGACCACGUUAAUCACCCCUUGUUAAAGGGCUAAACUAUAUGGCUACUGCCCUAAUGUCUUCGGUUGGGGCGACCGUGGGGGAAUACAAAGCCCCCAUGCGGAACGGGAGUACUACUCCCACAACCAAGAGUCUCCACUCUAACGACCAGAACUUCUGACCUAAAUGAUCCGGCAAUGCCGAUCAACGGACCAAGUUACCCUAGGGAUAACAGCGCAAUCCUCUUUUAGAGCCCAUAUCGACAAGAGGGUUUACGACCUCGAUGUUGGAUCAGGACAUCCUAAUGGUGCAGCCGCUAUUAAGGGUUCGUUUGUUCAACGAUUAACAGUCCUACGUGAUCUGAGUUCAGACCGGAGUAAUCCAGGUCAGUUUCUAUCUAUGUUAUGAUCUUUUCUAGUACGAAAGGACCGAAAAGGAGGGGCCCCUGCUGCAAGCACGCCUCACCCCUAACUAAUGAACACAACUAAAGUAGAGAAAGGGGC